rnacentral:sRNA from 1 species
CUAGCAGCUCUGAAGAGUGAAGACCUCUAUUUAGCCACAGAACAGAUAUGGCACAGGUAGCAGCAGGGAAAGUUUUUGACACUGCUCCACUAAUGUGCUUCAACCCUGAGUAGGGAAUACCAUCCUCUGGAAGUGAGAGCAGUUUAGACUUCAUGUUCUUGAAGUCACUAGCUUCU